rnacentral:rRNA from 1 species
CGUAGGGGCCAAGCGUUGUCCGGAUUUAUUGGGCGUAAAGAGCUCGUAGGUGGUUCGGCAAGUCAGUUGUGAAAUCUCCGCGCUCAACGCGGAGGGGUCAGCUGAAACUGCUGUGACUUGAGUCUGGUAGGGGAGUGGUGGAAUUCCCGGUGUAGCGGUGAAAUGCGCAGAUAUCGGGAGGAACACCAGUGGCGAAGGCGGCACUCUGGGCCAGUACUGACACUGAGGAGCGAAAGCGUGGGGAGCGAACAGGAUUAGAUACCCUGGUAGUCCACGCCGUAAACGUUGGGCACUAGGUGUGGGGACCUAUCGACGGUUUCCGUGCCGUAGCUAACGCAUUAAGUGCCCCGCCUGGGGAGUACGGCCGCAAGGCUA